CCUANGGGAGGCAGCAGUAGGGAAUAUUGCACAAUGGGCGAAAGUCUGAUGCAGCAACGCCGCGUGUGCGAUGAAGGCCUUCGGGUCGUAAAGCACUUUUCGAGGAGAUGAGGAAGGACAGUAUCCUCGGAAUAAGGAUCGGCUAACUACGUGCCAGCAGCCGCGGUAAAACGUAGGAUCCGAGCGUUAUCCGAAUUCAUUGGGCGUAAAGCGCGUGCAGGCGGUCCGGUAAGUUGGAUGUGAAAUCUCCCGGCUCAACUGGGAGAGGUCGUUCAAUACUGUCGGACUCGAGGACGGUAGAGGGAGGUGGAAUUCCCGGUGUAGUGGUGAAAUGCGUAGAUAUCGGGAGGAACACCAGUGGCGAAGGCGGCCUCCUGGACCGUUCCUGACGCUCAGACGCGAAAGCUAGGGGAGCAAACAGGAUUAGAUACCCUANUANUC
rnacentral:rRNA from 1 species